rnacentral:rRNA from 1 species
AGUUUUCUUUUCUUUCUAACGUUCUGCUUGAUCGUGAACGCUGUUCAUCAGGAGCAACGAUUAAGCAUUCGGAAGAGCACAGUAUCUUUCUUGCUGUGUCCGGUGCAUUCGAAACAAUCCUUGAAAAUCCAAGGGAACUUUGAGCUUCUGGCUCAGUUUCAUGUCUGGUCGUUCCCAUAACCGCAGCAGGUCUCCAGGGUGAAGAGCCUCUAGUGAUGGAAUAAGGUGGAUAAGGGAAGUCAGCAAACUAGAUCCGUAACUUCGGGAUAAGGAUUGGCUUCAAGGGUUGGUCGGUCCUGUAGUUGGAGCUCUUGAACUCGGGGUCGUGGCGCAAGCCAGACAGGCCGGCAAUUAACAACCAACUUGGAACUGGUACGGACAAGGGGAAUCCGACUGUCUAAUUAAAACAUAGCAUUGCGAUGGUCAGAAACUGGUGUUGACGCAAUGUGAUUUCUGCCCAGUGCUUUGAAUGCCAAAGUGAAGAAAUUCAACCAAGCGCGGGUGAACGGCGGGAGUAACUAGGACCCCUUAAGGUAGCCAUGCCCGUCAUCUAGCUAAUGACGUGAGAAUGGAACAACGAGAUUCCCACUGUCCCUAUCCACCAUCCAGCGAAACCACAGCCAAGGGAAUGGUCUUGGCAUAUUCAGCGGGGAAAGAAGACCCUGUCGAGCUUGACUCUAGUCUGACAUUGUGAAGAGACGUGGAGAGUCACAGAAAUGAGGGAGACUGGGAUUCGUGGUUGCUCGCUCUGCGUUUGCUUGGUCGCCAGUGAGAUACCUCAACCUCUGCUGUUCUCUUCACUUAGAUUAUCAAGUGGGAGUGUCUGGACUUACGUUCAGUAUUCUAGCAUUAAGCCUUCCUGGAAGGCCACCCAAGUAAUUGACAUCGUCAGGUGGGGAGUUUGGCUGGGGCGGCACAUCUGUUAAACAAUAUAGCAGAUGUCCUAAGGGGGGCUCAACGAGAACAGGACUCUCGUGUAGAGUAAAAGGGCAAAAGCCUCCUUGAUUCUGAUUUUCAGCGUGAAUACGAACCCUGAAAGGGUGGCCUAUCGAUCCUUUAUGUCCUCAGGAUUUGAGGCUAGAGGUGCCGGAAAAGUUACCGCAGGGGCAACUGACUUGUGGCAACUGAGCGUACCAGCGACGUUGCUUUUUUGAUUCUUCGAUGUUCGGCUCUUCCUAUCAUACUGAAGCAGAAUUCAGUAAGCGUUGGAUUGUUCACCCACUAACAGGGAACGUGAGCUGGGAUAAGACCGUCGUGAGACAGGUCAGUUUUACCCUACUGAAGACGAUAUGUUGUCGUAACAGUAAUUGAAGUUAGUACGAGAGGAACCCUUUAUUCAGAUAAUUGGUUUAUGCGGCUGGUUGAGAGGCCAAUGCCGCGAAGCUACCAUCUGCUGGAUAACAGCUGAACACCUCUAAGCUGGAAUCCAUGCUGGUUGAUGCGACAAUUCAGCCUUCUUUCUGGGAUAGAAAGUAGCAAUAAGGAUGUCUCGGCAUACCUGAAAACUAUAAUUUUGAGCGGUUGCCUCCCUUCAUGGAAGAAUGUGAGGAGGCACUGUCUUUUGGAUACAAUGAAUCCUGUGAAGGCAGUAUUCGCGAGCAGACGACUCGAUUUGAGACGGGGUAUUGUAAGCGUUAGAGUGGCCUUUGUUGCUACGAUGUGCUGAGAUUAAGCCCUUGUCUAUUGAAUUUGCAUCUUUCUUAAU